GCUGGGCGUGGUGGCGGGCGCCUAUAAUCCCAGCUACUGGGGAGGCUGAGGCAGGAGAAUUGCUUGAACCCAGGAGGCUGGAGGUUGCAAUGGGCCAAGAUCGCACCAUUGCACCCCAGCCUGGGAAACAAAGCAAGACUCCGUCUCUA
rfam:Gorilla gorilla gorilla genomic chromosome, chr12, whole genome shotgun sequence